GAUGAAGAACGCAGCGAAAUGCGAUAAGUAGUGUGAAUUGCAGAAUUCCGUGAAUCAUCGAAUCUUUGAACGCACAUUGCGCCUCCUGGUAAUCCGUGAGGCAUGCCUGUUCGAGCGUCACCAAAAUCAAAUCAACCACUCCGGUGAUUGGCCAUGGAGGAAGAGUCCGUCGUGUUGUGGUCUCCCCUCCCAAAAUAAAUGGCGGAAAGUUGCUGGCACUCGGUGUAGGAGUAUUAUUCGCCGAUUGUCCAGUGUCGUUCCUGCCGUCAAAUCCCCACAAUUAUCUUGAUUGACCUCGGAUCAGGUAGGGAUACCCGCUGAACUUAAGCAUAUCAAUAAGCGGAGGA
rnacentral:misc_RNA from 1 species